CUCUUAAGAUUGAGCUGUGAUGGGGAGAGGAACUUGUUCCUCGAGUCGUUGAUUUCACACUGCCGAGAAAAGCCUCUAGCUAGAAUAACGGUGCCCGUACCGCAAACCGACACAGGUAGUCAAGAUGAGAAUUCUAAGGUGAGCGAGCGAACUCUCGUUAAGGAACUCGGCAAAAUGACCCCGUAACUUCGGGAGAAGGGGUGCUCUUUGAGGUUCACGCUUCGAAGAGCCGCAGUGAAUAGGCCCAAGCGACUGUUUAUCAAAAACACAGGUCUCUGCUAAACCGUAAGGUGACGUAUAGGGGCUGACGCCUGCCCGGUGCUGGAAGGUUAAGAGGAGUGGUUAGCGCAAGCGAAGCUACGAAUCGAAGCCCCAGUAAACGGCGGCCGUAACUAUAACGGUCCUAAGGUAGCGAAAUUCCUUGUCGGGUAAGUUCCGACCCGCACGAAAGGCGUAACGAUUUGGGCACUGUCUCAACGAGAGACUCGGUGAAAUCAUAGUACCGGUGAAGAUGCCGGUUACCCGCGACAGGACGGAAAGACCCCGUGGAGCUUUACUGUAGCCUGAUAUUGAAAUUCGGUACAGUUUGUACAGGAUAGGUAGGAGCCUUAGAAGCGUGAGCGCUAGCUUACGUGGAGGCAUUGGUGGGAUACUACCCUAAUUGUAUUGGAUUUCUAACCCGCAGCACUUAUCGUGCUGGGAGACAGUGUCAGGCGG
rnacentral:rRNA from 1 species